AUUGAACGCUGGCGGCAGGCCUAACACAUGCAAGUCGAGCGGAUGAAGGGAGCUUGCUCCUGGAUUCAGCGGCGGACGGGUGAGUAAUGCCUAGGAAUCUGCCUGGUAGUGGGGGAUAACGUCCGGAAACGGGCGCUAAUACCGCAUACGUCCUGAGGGAGAAAGUGGGGGAUCUUCGGACCUCACGCUAUCAGAUGAGCCUAGGUCGGAUUAGCUAGUUGGUGGGGUAAAGGCCUACCAAGGCGACGAUCCGUAACUGGUCUGAGAGGAUGAUCAGUCACACUGGAACGGAGAAACGGUCCAAACACCUACGGGAGGCAGCGGGGGGGAAUAUUGGACAAUGGGGGAAAGCCUGACCCAGCCAGGCCGCGUGUGUGAAGAAGGUCUUCGGUUUGUAAAGCACUUUAAGUUGGGAGGAAGGGCAGUAAGUUAAUACCUUGCUGUUUUGACGUUACCAACAAAAUAAGCACCGGCUAACUUCGU
rnacentral:rRNA from 1 species